GAGCAUCCCUCAAAUAUAUCGCAUUGGAACCACGUUUUGGGACGACAAGUACGGAACGCGAGGGUUGUCGCUGGAUGUCAUAGGCAAAAUGAGAGCUCUGACGGCUGCGAAUUCAACGCACACCGACAACUCCUUCUUCCUCGAUGUGAACUCGAGCUCGCCGUUCUCGAUGGAAGAAGUUUUGCGGGUGCUGUGGCAGCAGCAUAAACAACCCGGGGAAUGUGGAUCCUCUGCCGCUCCUCCGUCAGAGAUCGGACUUCCACUUUCCCACGCAGCUGCAACCAGAAGAUCGAGUCCCUCUCGCAUUUCUUUCCAGAUUUGUGUUUGCAAACAUCUGUUUGACUUUGGCCGAGCCUGAUGAUCUCCUUCUUGU